CCUACGGGAGGCAGCAGUGGGGAAUAUUGGACAAUGGGGGGAACCCUGAUCCAGCCAUGCCGCGUGUGUGAAGAAGGCCCUCGGGUUGUAAGGCACUUUCAGUGAGGAAGAACGCCUGGUGGUUAAUACCCAUCAGGAAAGACAUCACUCACAGAAGAAGCACCGGCUAACUCCGUGCCAGCAGCCGCGGUAAUACGGAGGGUGCGAGCGUUAAUCGGAAUUACUGGGCGUAAAGCGCGCGUAGGUGGCUUGAUAAGCCGGUUGUGAAAGCCCCGGGCUCAACCUGGGAACGGCAUCCGGAACUGUCAAGCUAGAGUGCAGGAGAGGAAGGUAGAAUUCCCGGUGUAGCGGUGAAAUGCGUAGAGAUCGGGAGGAAUACCAGUGGCGAAGGCGGCCUUCUGGACUGACACUGACACUGAGGUGCGAAAGCGUGGGUAGCAAACAGGAUUAGAUACCCGAGUAGUC
rnacentral:rRNA from 1 species